rnacentral:lncRNA from 1 species
UUGUUUACUAAUUAUUUAUUCACUUAUUUGUUAAUAUCUUUUAUUUUCCCAUCAUACUUAUUUCUAGAUAUUCCCUGAUGUACCCAGCAAGUCUUCUUUUGUACAAACAGAAAAAUUAAGCAAAAUGACAAGAUAACUACAUCAAAUGUAGUAUGCAGCAUAUUGUACUCAUAGUCUCCCACAUCUAUAAAGAAGGAACAUUUCCUCAUUUUUGGGAGUAAUGCACUCAGAGUCAUGGUGACAGAAGAUGGAACUAGUGAUCUUUUCCCACCUCCCAGAAUUGAUCUAUUCUAGAGUAACGUUAGAAGGGACUUCUCUUAAUGAAGGGAAUUCAAUGAGAGGAGAGAGAAAAGUGAAAUGUCUCUGGAAAGUAGGUAAGAAAUGUUUUAUCUUCUGCUUGUUCCUUUUGCUGCUACAGUACCAGAGGCAUGUAUCCUUAAAUGCAUAUGAGUGACUUCUCAGUAGUGGACUGAGACAUAUAACUUCUUGCAGUUGUCUAAAAAUGACAUCCCAAAAUCUUACAUUUCCAAACAUUUCAUGGAGGAUACACUUAUACCUGUAUGUAUAUUUCUUAAUGUGUAUACUUGCCAAAUCCAAUUGUUUUCUUUAUGAAUAUAUGUGUUAUUGGUAGACAAUGUUCUAAGCCCAGAAUUGAAUGAGGAUAAAAGGAUCAUAGAUUUAAUUUUGUAAGGGAGCUGAAAUACCAUCUGGUCCAAACUCCCUAAUUUUAUAGAUAAAUAUUUUAGAGUAAAUCAUAUUUAAUGGCUUGACCACAUUUUCAGUAGUUACAAACAGUUUGACCCCACUAAAAGUUACCACUUUAGCAUCAUUAUUUUAUCAGUCAUGCUAGAUGACUCUUAAUAAUGGAUUAUUAUUCUCAAAAGAAUAAAGAUCUCAGGUGAGCCA